GCAUAAGCAUUCUGUGACAUCACAAUGUCCAGCCCAGGCUUGAUUUAACUCCUCAGCAAGACCAGUGCCAGGAAGGUCAGUCAUAGACCGGAGCGGUGGAGCACUUCCCGAAGGAGCUCGGUGGCAUCAGCCAGCCAUGAUGAAGGCUCAGGGGCGUAACCAAUUGGCUGAUAGAGUAACAAACGAAGAGUAACCUGACUCCAUUGACCCACUCAGCUCUGCGUAGGAACAUGGGAAGUAGCAGCAGUUGGCUUUGAAACAGGGGAAUAAGUAUGGAAUAGCUCUUUUCAUUGUUGCCUUCUUUUAUUUCUUUGCACGUCUAUUUCCAGACCAGUUGAAAACAGCAGGUUGCUCCUGUUUGAAAACACAGAAUUGGAGUUAUCGGAGCAGGUGCUCUAAGUGACUGGUCAUAUUUCUGAGUGGCUCCAUCUUCAGAUUGCUGACUAUACCUAUGUAAAUUGUCAAAUAACAAUCAGAAGGUGGCAUGAUGAGCAUGGAGUUAGAUGAGUCAAAUAAACGUUUAACAUCAUUGGCUGAAAUUGUUAGGUGGAUUUCUCUCAACAGGAACCAAUCACCUGGCCAAAAUAGACUUGAAUCAUUUGACUCUUUCCCCUCAGUAGUACCUGGCUGGAGCCUGACAAAAUGGCGUGCGAUACACCUUACCAACGGCAGCGGACUGUGUCAACAACUGGAGAAACUCUGUAUGAAAUUCUUGGUCUGCAUAAGGGAGCAUCACAUGAAGAAAUUAAGAAAACUUACAGAAAACUGGCCCUGAAACACCAUCCAGACAAGAAUCCAGGUGACCCUGCUGCUGCUGAGAAGUUUAAAGAAAUCAACAACGCCCACACAAUACUGACGGACAUGUCGAAGAAGAACAUAUACGACAAGUAUGGGUCCCUGGGACUCUAUGUGGCUGAGCAAUUUGGAGAAGAAAACGUGAAUACCUACUUUAUGCUGUCAAGCUGGUGGGCAAAGGCUCUGUUCAUCAUCUUUGGCCUCCUGACAGGCUGCUAUUUUUGCUGCUGCCUGUGCUGCUGCUGCAAAUGCUGCUGUGGACACUGCCAGCCAAAAUCAUCGACGCCUUCAGAAGAGACCUUCUACAUGUCCACAGAGGACCUGGAGAUGCAGAUCCAGAUAGAUGCAGAGAAAGAAAUGGAUUUCCCAAUUGUUCUCCAGCCCACAAAUGAGAAGACACAGCUAAUCAAAGAAGGAUCUAGAAGUUACUGCACAGACUCUUGAUAACGAGCUUACUGAGGGUCCACAGAGCCUCCUCUUGGUCCAGCUAGGUCUCCAGGUCACCUCUGCUUCAGAACUCCCCACAGCAUUGAAGGCAGAUCAGAGCUACUAUGAAAACAGCCAGCUGGUCCACGAGGCUGAAGAGGCCUGGGAAGCAAGUGUCUCACUUGCUGAUGAGGAGGACUUCUUCCAGGGUGUAACAGAUCGUGGAAGCCCCUUGCUCCACAGAAGAAUCUUCUAUCCACUCAUUCACUCCCUGAAGGGCUGGAA